rnacentral:misc_RNA from 1 species
GAAAUGCGAUAAGUAAUGUGAAUUGCAGAAUUCCGUGAAUCAUCGAAUCUUUGAACGCACAUUGCGCCCCCUGGCAUUCCGGGGGGCAUGCCUGUCCGAGCGUCAUUUCUGCCCUCAAGCACGGCUUGUGUGUUGGGUGUGGUCCGCCCGGGGACCUGCCCGAAAGGCAGCGGCGACGUCCGUCUGGUCCUCGAGCGUAUGGGGCUCUGUCACUCGCUCGGGAAGGACCUGCGGGGGUUGGUCACCACCAUAUUUCACCACGGUUGACCUCGGAUCAGGUAGGAGUUACCCGCUGAACUUAAGC